GGGGGGGGGGGGGCGUAAAAAAUAAGGCUGGCAUUGAAAAACGCUAAUAUAAAAAAUAUGGCCUCUAUGUAUUAUUGAAAGAUACUUUUAUUUAUUAAAGUAACUUUGGUUUAUAGCAUUAUAAGUUCCAUGUGUAUAAUAUUAUACCUCGACUUCUCUGUACACCACAGCCUGCUCACCACGCCAGGUGGCGCUUCCCUCCUUCGCCGUACAGUGGAACCCCUUUACCCGUCUCACCCUCCCCGCCGUCGCCCCCGAUAAGCCACUGCUCUGGUCUUGGACCUAUGUUUUUAUUUUUGUUUGGUUUGUUCUUUAUUAGUAUUAUUCUACACAUGCGUUAAAUCCUACGGUAUUUGUCUUUCUCUGCCUGACAUUUUACUUUACACAGUACCUUCACGGUCCACCCAUGUUGUCACAAACGGCAUGAAUCAUCUUCUGGCGGAGUUCUCCUGUUUUGUGUGUUGUAUGCGAUACCCCCAUCUUCUUCGUCCACACGCAUCCACGGGCGUACACUCAGGUUGCUUCCCUGCCUUGGCUGCUAUGAUGAUGCCCUAGGGGUGCAUGUAUCUUCUCAAAUUACUGCUUUUGUGUUCGUCAGGUGAAUACCCAGAAGUGGAGCAGCUGGAUCAUGGAGUCGUUAUUCUCUUUUUGAGGAACCUCCAUACAGUUUUCCGUAGUGACUACGCCAAUUUAUAUUCCCACCAGCAGUGUAGGAGGGGUCCCUUUUCUCCCCAUCCUUGCCAGCACUCAUUAUUUCUUGCCUUUUUGAUAAUAGCCAUUCUUUUUUUUUUUUUUUUUUUUUUAAGAGCUGCACCCAUGGCAUAUGGAAGUUCCCGGGCUAGGGGGCCAAGUGGAGCUGCAGCUGCUGGAUCUGAACCUCGUCUGCAACCUACACCGCAACUCAUGGUGAUGCUGGAUUCUUAACCCACUGAGAAGGCCAAGGAGCAAACCCCCAUCCUCAUGGAUACGAGUCGGGUUCAUUACCACUGAGCCACAGUGGGAACUCCAGUGAUAGCCAUUCUAACAAGCGUGAGGUAAUACCUCCCUGUGGUUUCGAUUUGCAUUUCUCCAAUAAUUGGUGAUGCUGAACAUCUUCUCCUGUCCCUGCUGGCCAUCUGUCGGUCUUCUUUGGGAAAAAAAAUGUUUAUUCAUAGCCUCUCUGGCCAUUUUUUAAUUGGGUUGUUUGGUUUUUUGUUGUUGAAAGUAAGACAUGUCUAAUUACCAAAUAUUCCAUAGGUAAUAGAGGAUACAUUUUUCCCCAAUUUUGUUGAGAUGUAAUUGACAUAUAACAUUGUAUGAGUUUAAGCCGUACAAUGUAAUGAUUUCAUAUGUGUUUAGAUGGCAAAACGAUCACCACAAUAAGACUAGUUAACAUCCAUCCUCUCACCUAGUUAUAAUUUUUUUUUCCUUAUGAUGAGAACUUUUCAGAUAUACUCUCAGAGUUCCCUGGUGGCUCAGUGGGUUAAGGAUCCAAUGCUGUCACUGCUGUGGCUCGGGUUUCUGUGCUGGCAAGGUUUUGAUCCCUGGCCCAGGAACUUCCACGUGCUGUGGGUUUGAACCAAAAAAAAAAAAAAAAAAUCUGCUCUCUUAGCAACUUUCAGUAUAUCCAACACAGCAGAGUUAACUGCAGUCGCCGGGUUGUGCAUGACAUCCCCAGAACCCCUUUCUCCUGCCACAGAAGCACGCACCUUUCGGCCACCUUCACCUAAUUCCCCCUUCCCCCACUGCCCACCCCUGACAACCACAAAUCUGACCUCUGGUGCCAUGGGGUUGUUCUUCCUGGAUUCCGAGUGUAUGUGAGCUCCUGCAGUUUUUGUCUUCCUCUCUGACUUAUUGCACUUAGCAUGAUGCUCUCAAGGUCCAUCCGUGUUGUCACAAGUGGCAGAAUUUCCUUAUUUUAUUUAAAAAAGAAUUUAUCGGAGUUACUGAUGUGGCACAGCGGAAACGAGUCCGACUGGGAACCAUGAGGUUUCGGGUUUGCUCCCUGGCUUCGCUCAGUGGGUUAAGGAUCUGGCGUUGCUGUGAACUGCGGUGUAGGCCAGCGGCUGCAGCUCUGAUUAGACCCCUAGCCUGGGAACCUCCAUAUGCCGGGGGUGCGGCCCUAAAAAGACAAAAAAAUAAAAUAAAGAAGGAUGUGUUUUGACUGAAUAGUAUCCCUUUAUACACAUCUUUAGUCAUUCAUCCAUCAGUGGACACUUACGUUGCGUCCAUGUCUUGGUUAUUGUGAAUAAGGCUGCUAUAAAUAUGGAAUGCAGAUAUCUCUUCAGGAUAGUGAUUUCGUUUCCUUCAGAUAAAUACUCAGGAGUGGGAUUCCUGGGUCAUAUGGUGGUUCUAUCUUUAAUUUUUUUGAGAAGCCUCCAUGCUAUUUCCUGUGGUGGCAGCACCAAUAUUCGUUCCCACCAAAAGUGCUCAAGAGUUCCCUUUUCUCCACAUUUUCUCUCUUGUCUUUUUUUUUUUUCCCAAUGCCUGUGCCCGAGGCACAUGCAAGUUCCAAGGCCAGGGACUGAAUCUGAGCCACAGCUGCGACCUCCACUGCAGCUGUGGCAAUGCUGGAUCAUUUGAACCCACUGCAGCAGGCCAAGGAUCGAAUCUGCACUUCUGCAACCACCCAAGCUGCUGCAGUUGGCUUUUUAACCCGCUGCACCACAGCAGGAACUCCUCUCUGGUCUUUUUGAGGGUGGCAGUUCUAACAGGUGUGAGGUGAGGGGAUUACAUUUUUAACAAAAAAUAUAUAUAAAGCAUAAGUCCUGGGGUCAUAUUGCCAGUGGUUUAUCAUUAUAACUUUUUAACAUUCACCUUUUUCUUUUUUUUUUUUUUUUAGGAAACCACAGUUAGUGACAUCCCUGAAUUUGAAGCAUUGAAUAAAAUCAUGCCCUUACCAAACUCUGGUAAAAUCAGGGCAAUCAGUUUUUCAGGACCGGGUUUGGUAGAGUCGGCCAAAAGCCUUCAGGAGACCGAAGAACAUACGUCGGAAGAAACAGUGGCCAGCCCCAAAUCCCCUAGGUCUCUUUUGUGUUCACAGAAUUCUGAAGCUGGAUGCGUAAAGGUAGCUUCUCCGAAAGAGACCUAUCACAUCCAAGAAUAAGGCUGCAAGUUGGCACUACACAAUCACUGGUGUCUAAAACUAGACUGAUCAAAGCUGCUAACGCAAGCUUGGGCUUGUAGGUGGAGCAUGAUGUGGAGAAGAGUUACAGCACAUCUUCACUGGGCACCAACCAGGAGUCUUCAAAAUUGCUGGUAGAUUCAUUAAAGCUCUUCC
rnacentral:lncRNA from 1 species